rnacentral:rRNA from 1 species
AGUCAUAUGCUUGUCUCAAAGAUUAAGCCAUGCAUGUCUAAGUCCAAGCUGUGUUCACACGGCGAGACCGCGGACGGCUCAUUAAAUCAGUCGUGGUCCAAAUGGGCCAGUGCAAAUCCUACUUGGAUAACUGUGGUAAUUCCAGAGCUAAUACAUGCAACUGAUAUCCCGAAGGCGGUGUUGGGGCUUGCUUGCCUUGCGCUGCGCUGCUCUGACGGAUGCUUUUAUUAGACCAAGCCGCUGAGGACUUGAGGGUUCGCGCUCUCUUGUUUGACUCGUGUGAUGGUGACUCUGGAUAACCAAAUUCUGACAAGCGCACGUACUUCUCUUCUGAGCGAGACGGCGCUGCCACUUUCGAGUGUCUGCCUUAUCAGCUAUCAACCGUUCGUUAUGCGCGACCGAUGGCUUUGACGGGUAACGGGGAAUCAGGGUUCGAUUCCGGAGAGGCAGCCUGAGAGACGGCUACCACGUCCAAGGACGGCAGCAGGCACGCAAAUUACCCAAUCCCAGCAAAUGGGGGAGGUAGUGACGAAAUCUAACGAUGCGGGCGCCCUUUCUGGGGCCCCGCAAUCGGAAUGGGCACUUUCUAAACAACCUGUUGAGAACCUACU